GCCAGGAUGGUGUAGUGGUUUGAACACUGAACUAUGACUCUGGAGAUCAGGGUUCAAUUCCCCACUUGGCC